GCGGUGGAGUAUGUGGUUAAUUCGAUGCAACGCGAAGAACCUUACCUGGUCUUGACAUCCCGGAGACCCUUAGGAAACUAGGGGGUGCUUCCAUCUGGAAGAAUCUGGAGACAGGUGCUGCAUGGCUGUCGUCAGCUCGUGUCGUGAGAUGUUGGGUUAAGUCCCGCAACGAGCGCAACCCUUGCCUUUAGUUGCCAGCAGUUCGGCUGGGCACUCUAAAGGGACUGCCGGUGUUAAACCGGAGGAAGGUGGGGAUGACGUCAAGUCCUCAUGGCCUUUAUGACCAGGGCUACACACGUACUACAAUGGCCGAUACAAAGGGCAGCGACACUGCGAGGUGAAGCCAAUCCCGUAAAAUCGGUCUCAGUCCGGAUUGGAGUCUGCAACUCGACUCCAUGAAGUUGGAAUCGCUAGUAAUCGUGGAUCAGCAUGCCACGGUGAAUACGUUCCCGGGCCUU
rnacentral:rRNA from 1 species